rnacentral:lncRNA from 1 species
GCUCCCUCGACUCCAGCUUCUCCGACGUCGGUGGACUUUUGCAUCAACAGCUGCAUACCAGACUCAAUCCUCCCUCUCAAUAUGCCAGCCUCUCUGGCAAAUAUAGAAAAGUCCUGAGGCUCAUCUGAUCUAACUCUGAUCUCCAUAGCCUCUAUCCUCUCUAAUAAACAACUGACCUUGAAACUCAGUGUGCCAAGCUCAAUCUCUAUCUACUCGGA